GGGCCCGAAAUUUUGGCUCAAACCUCUGAAUUAUCAGGUGAGCAAAGUUUUUGGGUGGU
rnacentral:pre_miRNA from 1 species